GAGGGCGGCGCGCCCGGGGGCAGAGCCGCCGCCUCGUCCCGCCCGCCCCGCGCCGCUCCCGCCAUGGACGGGCCGUGAGAGCCGCUGCGCGCCAUGGGCGCCUCGCCGCCCCCCGCCCGGACCGGCGAGCGGGGCGCAGAUGCGUUUCUGCUCCUGUAGAGACUUUGUUGCUUCACAUCAGACCUAUGUGACUUUGCUGGAAGGAUCAUGACUGAAGUCCUCUUCUCUGCUGCUUUGAAUGGAACUGAGCCCAACCUGUUAUCCAGCAGUGGCUGGUCUGCCGGAAAUGCCACCACCAAGUGUUCCCUGACUAAAACUGGCUUCCAGUUCUAUUACCUGCCCACCGUCUACAUUUUGGUCUUCAUCACUGGGUUUUUGGGCAACAGCGUGGCCAUCUGGAUGUUUGUCUUCCAUAUGCGGCCUUGGAGCGGCAUCUCAGUUUACAUGUUCAACUUGGCGCUAGCUGAUUUCUUGUAUGUCUUGACUCUGCCUGCCCUCAUCUUCUACUACUUCAAUAAAACAGACUGGAUCUUCGGCGAUGUCAUGUGCAAACUACAGAGGUUCAUCUUCCACGUGAACCUGUACGGCAGUAUUUUGUUUCUCACCUGCAUCAGCGUGCACAGGUACACAGGGGUUGUGCAUCCCUUGAAGUCGCUGGGGAGGCUGAAGAAGAAGAACGCGGUGUACAUCAGCACCCUGGUCUGGGCCAUCGUGGUGGCUGCGAUUUCUCCAAUACUCUUCUACUCGGGAACAGGGAUAAGGAAAAAUAAAACCACGACGUGCUACGACACGACCGCCGAUGAUUUCCUGAGAAGUUACUUCAUUUACAGCAUGUGCACCACCGUGCUGAUGUUCUGUAUCCCAUUCAUACUGAUUCUUGGUUGCUAUGGGCUAAUUGUGAAAGCUUUGAUUUACAAAGAUUUGGACAAUUCUCCUCUCAGGAGAAAGUCUAUUUACCUGGUUAUUAUUGUGUUGACGGUCUUUGCUGUGUCUUACCUUCCCUUCCACGUGAUGAAGACCUUAAAUCUAAGAGCCAGGGUGGAUUUUCAGACUCCACAAAUGUGUGCCUUCAACGAUAAGGUUUAUGCUACUUACCAGGUAACGAGGGGUCUGGCCAGCCUCAACAGUUGCGUCGACCCUAUCCUUUACUUUCUGGCAGGUGAUACCUUUCGAAGGCGGCUUUCCAGGGCGACCAGGAAAUCGUCCCGAAGAAGUGAACACAAUGUGCAGUCCAAAAGUGAGGAAAUGACUCUCAAUAUUUUGUCUGAGUAUAAACAGAAUGGAGAUACAAGUUUGUGAACGAAUGCAAAAGAUUUGGGAACGGCUUGGAAAAAUCCUCCGCUUUGAGACAGUAGGAUGCUGUAGUGCUACAAGCGUGUGGGGAAAACCUACCAGUCUCUCAAAUUCCUUUUCGGCAAAGCCUCAUUUUCUGAUCUUAGAAAAAGCUUAACAAAGUAAGUGGAAGAAUUUUAAUGGAAAAGAACGUGUCAAAAUCAGCUUUCCUUCUUAUGAUAUUCUCAUUCCUUUCUGACUUGCAUCAGAUGAAGUAAAAUGAAGUAAAUCCCCUAAAGGAAGAAAGCAAUCCAAGUACUUCUGUUUUAAUGACUUAGUCUCCCACAUUCAAAAAUGUUCUCAAUGAGCCUCUCUUUAAAAAUACGAAAUAAGAAGGAGCAGAAUCUUCUCUUUGGAGGCCCACUAGCCUUUCGCUCAUUUACUGCUGUACACAAACGUUUAUAUCAAAGUCAGGAUGCAGUUAUCUCACCUUUACGGUUUUCUUAUUUCUUCAUCUACUUCUGGUGUUGAUCAUUAUUUGAUAGUUUUGGUAGCAUUUACGAUUCAGUCUUGUUUGAGUGCCCGUGUUUUACAAAAGGUAGGCUUACUGGUGUGUGCAUGAUUAUGCUUUCGGAUUGCGAUGGUUGUUCAUGAAAAAUAUGGAGCAAAAAAUGGCAAAGCCAGAAUUGGGCAAAUGGGCGUCCAGGUGAACUGGCCCUCGCCACUGGCAGGCGGAGAAGCAGGUUGUCUCUAGGAGCCCGAGCAAGCAGGCGCCAGCUUUGCACGUGCACAUGGCAGGGCGUUUCGUGAACAGAUGUCAGCGUACAAAUGCAUGCAGCGAUGAUUUCGUUGUGAGCAGCCGGUGGUUUGAUCCUGCCUUCCAUGCUGAGGGAAAACAGGUGUGUUGUCAGCCGGCAGGAUGAGGCUGAGCGAGGACUGGGCUCGCCCAGGGAGCACCUCAGCGAGCCCUGCAGAGCCAAGGGGCGAGCUGCCUUUCCUGAAGGCUGCCCACGGUGCCAACGCUCGACUGCCGGCGUUGGGAGCCAUGCUGGAGUUCUUUACGGGUAAAACAUGAGAAAUGCGUGUGCUGAAAAUAACUGUACCUUUCAGACAAGUAAAACUACGGUUGCUCGAGUUACUUGCGUUUCCAUUUGGUACAAGAGUGUUUCUAUUUCUGGCAGUCUUAGAGAUAACGUAAGAGUUGUUUCCCAAGAAGAUAGUUAUUAAAAAGGAUAAUAUAAAUGGAUUAUAUAUUAUAUAUAUAUAAAUAAUUGGGGGGGGAAUUAAUAUUUUGUACUGUGAUGAAUAAAUUACUGUAUUAACAAGAUGUUGCAAUAUACUACCGACUAAAUCCAGCCCUUUAUUAUGUGUCUUCUCCAAAUGUGGAAUAGGUCAUCCAAAAUUAGCCAAACUGCAAUAUUGUGUAACACAAUAGCUGGUGAUCAGAGCACAGAUGAAAUCUGACAUGGGCAGCCUUAUUCAUUUAUUCUGAUAUUUUUAAGAAAUGUAUUUGAAAAUAUUGUGUGCUAGAAAUGGUACAAAAGCAUGCUCUAAAAUUAGUGUACGAAGUUAAGUUCUGUGUAAUCCUAAGGGUGAUUUUAACAGAUCUUUGUUCCUCCAGUCUUCGUGGUAAGAGUAAAAUAUUUAUAUUUUACUUACUAACUUCCAGUGAUUGGUAACAAACAAGAAUAGCUCUAGUUAUUUUUUUGAUGACAUUGUAAAGCAGCUUCUGUUCACACGUACAGCUUCUUGAUCUGCAAAAUCCCUAUUUAUUGAACUUAUUUAUUAGAAAGCUAAAUGUAAAGUAUGUAAAGUGUGGUUCUCCGUGUUCAUAGUCAGAAUUGGGCAUUAAUGGAAAAAUUUAACAGCAUGUUUUGAUCUCUGUAAUACUGUGUCUUCUAACAGAACAUCUUUAUAAUAAACUCAGUUCCACCCUGACUGUUCACUGUUGACUUGUAACCUAGUGAUAAAUUAAACUCCUGAUUUAUAGCCUAAAGCUAAAUUUAACUGCUGCUUAGAAAGCGUAGCUUCUUAAAGCAAUGUUAGGAUCUCAUUUAGCCCUAUAAAAUGGAAAAUGUAGAGGUUUUGAAGAAAUCCCCGCCAAGGGUCAAUUGCUAAUUAAUCCCUACUGACAAAAGACUGUGGAACUGCACAGCCUAUUUGUAUUGCCAGAGAAUGAGCCUGAUUCACAAUAAAUUACUUCCAUUAUGUGAUUAUUUGAGACUUCAUUCAACUGAGGCACGUCUUGUUUGGAAUGGUGGAUUAAUUAAAUGGAGAGAGAGCAUAAAAAUAGGAUAUUCUCUGAAUCUUCUUCUUUAGGUUUAAGAUCGUAUCCAUUUCCCAGCAUUUCAUGGUCUAUUUGUCUGUUUCAGUUAGGAAAUAAAAUGUUCCGCUAAUCCAUGUCUGAAAAAAGAUCCUAAACAGACACAGCAGAAUGUAAAACCAUACGCCCAGGUUGGUCCUUAUGCAGUUACUUACAGUCUUUUUGCAAUAUGUCGCUCUAAUAUGGCAUCGUUGACUGUUACGGAGUGUACGGAAACCCACGUGCAACCAAAUCCUCUGGGUGUGCUGUGGGAGAGACAUGCGGCCAGAGAGCCACCCUGCCUGGGACAUCCACCUUCUGGAGCUCGGGAUGGCCAUCUCCAUCCCAGCAUCAGCCUUGUGGAUCUUGAACACCAGCCAAGUUUUCCUGCUUUCCUCUGAACCGUUGGAAGCUCGUUCUGUUCUGUCUUGCCUCAUGGAAGAGAACUGUGCAACCGGCCAGGUUAUUCACCCAGUUCAUUGCUGAGGUCUGUGUUUAUUAAAUGAAGAUCAAUUCUGAUGAUCCACAUGGCAGGCAACUGCACUCGGCAUCUUCACCUCAUGGAAGCACACGAGAGCCUUCCCCUAACACCAAGAAGAUUCAUCGAACACAUUUUACACACUGUUUAUUUUCCAUCUUUCACAUCCUAGGACCUGUAGAGCCAACACCUCAAACUGCAUCCUGCUCCGAUGUGACACACACUGGGAUGUCACAACCUACUCUGAAUCCAGCAGAAACACAAAGCUGAGCCUCACGAUCUCAUGUAAAGUUCCUCCUUUUUUUGUAAACAUUGCUAUAUUUGACAUGAGGUAGUUGGAACCCUUACAAAAAUCACACCGAGUUCCAUCUCCUCCCACACGAUUACUUUUACCUACAACAGGACAGACGUGUGUCUGUUGGGCCAUCCCGCCAGCGAGGAAGCUGGUCAGAUGGGGUCAUUGGGCACUACCAGGGCAAAAGCCAGGCAGGUCUUCUCCAGACAGUGAUGGAGCCAUUAGCUCCGGGGGAACUGGGCAAGACUGCUGUUAAAAAAUUGCCUUUGGGUACUUUUCCACUCUAAUAUAUUUGUGGAAGACAAUCGGUCCACCAACCUUAGAGGCCCAAGCGAUCCCUGUGGUUACACAUAAACCUCUGCAGUGGGCGUAGGCAAAGAAGCCUUUCCCUAAGCCGCUCAGCUGGAGUUUCUGACCUAUCCCUAUCUCACCUGCAGCCUAUUUUCAGUAAUAACCAACGAUGACAAUAGGUUGUGUUUACUAGGAAGAAGAUUCAGCUCAUGGUCUUACUACAGGAAGACCACCUAAACGGUUCGCCUCCCCUCGUGCUGCCUUUGACUAGCAAAUGCAAUCCGGCACUGUAAUUUUGUGAUCAUGCUGUUAACCUGUUUUUCCUCUGAGUAUAUUUAGGCAUCUUUUAACAAAUACAAAAUAUUCACUGGAGACACGAAAAGGUUUGAGGUAAAUCGUUAUUUAGAGCUUAAGUGUUGCUAAAGCAUUCUACAAUGAUCCACACUGAAACAAAGUAUUAUUCGUUAGUUAUGUUUUGCUUCCUCCAGCUCUCACAGGGUUAAUUUUUUUUCCUCGUUUAUGCCCAUUAUCUCCCACAUAAGGCAAUCUUCAAUACAAAAUGAAAUCAGUAUGAAACCUACACAUGAUCUGCUGUCAGUUUGUACAUUUUCAUAGCAUAGCACCUAGGAUUUUUUCUUUUAAUCCAGUUCAUAUGACACCAACUGAACGAAAUAAUGCUCAGACACAGGGAGCCAGCAGAAUCUUGCCCGAGAUUGCACUGGAUGCCUUCGUAAGCCGUUUUCCAACCCGCAUUCUGCUGUGGGGCUGUGUCUGUGGCUGAUGGUCCACGGGUCAAUGCCACAGAGCAUCCUGCUGCUUCCUCCCCAUGGCCCAGGACAGAAGCUGAAGAUUUGGUUCCUUCCUGUGGGUCCAUAGACUAAAACCUCGGCAUCGUACUGGAUUGGACCAGAACGAAACCAUCGAUAGAUAUGUUUCAACACAGCCCACUAUUAUUCAAGUCUACACACUGGUAUGUGUUACCUGCAGUGUUUAGUCUCCACCGUUGGUAACAUUUUGAAGGAAGUUGUGGGCCUGA